GACGAACCGUGCAAACGUUGUUCGGAAUCACUGGGCUUAAAGGGCGCGUAGGCGGGCAGGCAAGUCGAAGGUGAAAUCCCACGGCUCAACCGUGGAAGUGCCCCCGAUACUGCCUGUCUCGAGGGAGAUAGGGGCGUGCGGAACUUCCGGUGGAGCGGUGAAAUGUGUAGAGAUCGGGAGGAACACCGGUGGCGAAGGCGGGUCUCUGGGCAUCUCCUGACGCUGAGGCGCGAAAGCGUGGGGAGCAAACGGG
rnacentral:rRNA from 1 species